CAGCAGCCGCGGGAAUACAGAGGGUGCGAGCGUUAAUCGGAUUUACUGGGCGUAAAGCGUGCGUAUGCGGCUUUUUAAGUCGGAUGUGAAAUCCCUGAGCUUAACUUAGGAAUUGCAUUCGAUACUGGGAAGCUAGAGUAUGGGAGAGGAUGGUAGAAUUCCAGGUGUAGCGGUGAAAUGCGUAGAGAUCUGGAGGAAUACCGAUGGCGAAGGCAGCCAUCUGGCCUAAUACUGACGCUGAGGUACGAAAGCAUGGGGAGCAAACAGGAUUAGAUACCCCAGUAGUCCCUGUCUCUUAUAC
rnacentral:rRNA from 1 species